AGGAUUUGUUUUAUUUUUAUGCUUGUCUAAAUUUUGUUUUUAAUAAGCUAUGAACUUGGUUGAAUGAAUAGUUCUACAAUGGUUGAUGUUAUGUGAUGAAUUGUUUUGUGAUGAGUAAUAUUGUCGUGUGUUGCUCUAUGUUUUUAAAUGCAUGGUUGAGUUAAUGUUUGAAUUAGCUAUUAAGCACAGAUAGUGGUUGC
rnacentral:lncRNA from 1 species